UUUUGGCGCUCAAAAAUCGAACUUCGCUUUCAUUUCGCGAAUUAUGUCUGAAUUACAGCAUUAUUAAUUGUUAAUAAUUACAACAAUCAAUUGAAUUGAUGAAACUUAUAUCUGUGUUUUAGUGUUUAAUUUAUGAGUAUGUGAAAAGUGUUAACUCGAGAAUAAAAGGAAUAAGGUUCGAAAGCAUAGGCUCAAUAAUGGUUCAAAUAGUAAAAAAGCUGUUAUAAAUCAAUAUUCUGGGCGCUAACACCUACUUGGACGCUUGCACUGUUGCCAUUUACUGUAAGAUAUAUUAUCCGGCGUUCGCCCUAAUGGCGUAUACGUACGCACGUCAGACGAUUAAGCUUUACAUUAGCCUUCAAAGAGAACCUCACUUGGAACGUCUUCAGGCCUAUCAAAAUACGAGCUUUGCACCAUGGUAUAAAAAUCGUUGUCUGUAAAAUGAUGUCUUACUAGCUUCUACUGCAGUUUUAUCGGAAAUAGUCGAGUAUUGAAAACUCAGCUGCAAUAAUAAUAUUAUAAUAAUAAUAACCGCCCAACCGACGCGAGGUGCGCAAUCGGCAUACGUGCGGAA